ACAGCAGUAGCCGCGGGAAUACAGAGGGUGCGAGCGUUAAUCGGAUUUACUGGGCGUAAAGCGUGCGUAGGCGGCUUCUUAAGUCCGUUGUGAAAGCCCUGGGCUCAACCUGGGAAUUGCAGUGGAUACUGGGUCACUAGAGUGUGGUAGAGGAUAGUGGAAUUUCCGGUGUAGCAGUGAAAUGCGUAGAGAUCGGAAGGAACAUCUGUGGCGAAGGCGACUAUCUGGGCCAACACUGACACUGAGGCACGAAAGCGUGGGGAGCAAACAGGAUUAGAUACCCCAGUAGUCCCUGUCUCUUAUAC
rnacentral:rRNA from 1 species